rnacentral:tRNA from 1 species
GGAUGUGGCUCAAGUGGUAGCGCAAUCGCCUGGCAUGUGUGCGGCCCGGGUUCGAUCCCCAGCACCA